rnacentral:rRNA from 1 species
AAGACCUUGCGCUUUUGGAGCGGCCGAUGUCUGAUUAGCUAGUUGGUGGGGUAAUGGCCUACCAAAGCUUCGAUCAGUAGCUGGUCUGAGAGGACGGCCAGCCACACUGGGACUGAGACACGGCCCAGACUCCUACGGGAGGCAGCAGUGGGGAAUUUUGAACAAUGGGCGCAAGCCUGAUCCAGCCAUGCCGCGUGAGUGAAGAAGGCCUUCGGGUUGUAAAGCUCUUUCAGCCGGGAAGAAAAGGUUGCGAUUAAUAAUCGCAAUUGAUGACGGUACCGGAAGAAGAAGCACCGGCUAACUACGUGCCAGCAGCCGCGGUAAUACGUAGGGUGCGAGCGUUAAUCGGAAUUACUGGGCGUAAAGGGUGCGCAGGCGGUUUUGUAAGUCAGAUGUGAAAUCCCCGGGCUUAACCUGGGAACU